rnacentral:rRNA from 1 species
CGCGAAUGGCUCAUUACAACAGCCAUAGUUUAUUGGAUCUUAAAGUCCUACUUGGAUAACUGUGGUAAUUCUAGAGCUAAUACACGCAAUUAAACCCCAACCUGACGGGCGGGGUGCAUUUAUUAGAACAAAACCAAUUGGCUUCGGCCAUUCAUUGGUGAAUCUGAAUAACUACGCUGAUCGCAUGGUCUAGCACCGGCGACAUAUCCUUCAAGUGUCUGCCUUAUCAACUGUCGAUGGUAGUCUAUAAGCCUACCAUGGUUGUAACGGGUAACGGAGAAUAAGGGUUCGACUCCGGAGAGGGAGCCUGAGAAACGGCUACCACAUCCAAGGAAGGCAGCAGGCGCGCAAAUUACCCACUCUCAGAACGAGGAGGUAGUGACGAAAAAUAACGAGACAGUUCUCUAUGAGGUCUGUCAUCGGAAUGGGUACAAUCUAAACCCUUUAACGAGGAUCUAUUGGAGGGCAAGUCUGGUGCCAGCAGCCGCGGUAAUUCCAGCUCCAAUAGCGUAUAUUAAAGUUGUUGCGGUUAAAAAGCUCGUAGUUGGAUCUGCGGUCAUUAACUCCGGUUUCCUUUUCGGAAUACUGGUUGUUGUGACCUACCUCGCUGGUUGUCUCUUGGUGCUCUUCAUUGAGUGCCUUGAGUGGCUAGCACGUUUACUUUGAAAAAAUUAGAGUGCUUAACGCAGGCUUUUGCCUGAAUAGUGGUGCAUGGAAUAAUGGAAUAGGACCUCGGUUCUAUUUUGUUGGUUUUCGGAGCACGAGGUAAUGAUUAAGAGGGACAGACGGGGGCAUUCGUACUGCUGCGUUAGAGGUGAAAUUCUUGGAUCGCAGCAUGACGAACAACUGCGAAAGCAUUUGCCAAGAAUGUUUUCAUUAAUCAAGAACGAUAGUUAGAAGGUUCGAAGGCGAUCAGAUACCGCCC